rnacentral:lncRNA from 1 species
UCAUUUAAGAGACAUUUGAACAAAUUAGAACUAAACAAGGCAGCUUAAAGUCUCUGCAAUUAUUCACACACACACACACACGUAAAAUAAAUAAAAAUGUGGACCUACGUAUUCAAUGUAUAAAAUAACGCAAGGGUUUGUUAAUUUGCUUUAAAACAAGUGGGGCUGCAUUGAAGGUUUUAAAAUGCACUUCUUGAUCAAGUGUCAACGUUUUCGCCAAGAAAAUAUCUGCAAAUGUGUUUUUAAAGAUUCGGUAUGGUAAACAAACUAACAAUUAAUACAAAGACCAAAAAAAGAUAAUGCAUAAGAAAAAGAGGAAAAAACAUUUUAUGGUAUGGCCGUAUGAGUCAGAAUCCUCCUUUUUACAUGAUGUACAUAUAUGGAUAUUUUUUGAAAGUAAAAAGAAAUCAUUUAAUAGUAUUUCAAAAUAGCAUCGUAAAAUAUUGUACGUCUCAGAAAUUUACGUAAAAUUUUCAAAUCCCCAACAACAUUUCAAACCUCUUUUACCCAAAAAAAAACCAUUUCAAACCUCUAGAAUAUUUUUGUUGCACCAUUCAAGUUUUGGUAAAUGUAUAUUGUGGGAUUCAACGAGUAUCAGUAAAUAAAAAGAAAAUGUUCUAGAGGAGGAAAAUAACUCACCAGAACAAGAGAUACAAUGAACCUAGACAUAUACGCAUCCCAUGGAGCCCAGUCACCGUAACGCCUAUAAAAAUAGGAGAACAUUCACGAACCAAGAACAAGAACACAAAGCCAACGCCAAACAAAAAAAGAACAGUUAAAGAAACUUUGAAAAGAAAAUGGGUAAAGGAGGAAACCUUGUGACGGCUUCGGAGGUGGAGGAGCUACGACGGAAGAACGGGGAGAUGGAAAAAGUGGUGGAGGAAAUGAAGAAAGAAAUGUUGCAGUUGUGGCGGCGGACGCAGGUGGCGGAGGAAG